UAGCUCAAUUGGUAGAGCAACUGACUUGUAAUCAGUAGGUUGGGGGUUCAAGUCCUCUG
rnacentral:tRNA from 2 species